rnacentral:rRNA from 1 species
CCUCAACUCAGCAGGACUACGCUGUGAACUAAAGCAUUUCAGUAACAGCAGAAAAGAAAAUAACAAUGAUUCCCCCAGUAACUGCGAGUGAAGUGGGAAGAGUCCAACGUUGAAAGCUGCGUCCUUAGCUGGGCGUCGCAUUGUAACGUUUGGAGCUGUAUUUGAGUGGUUGUCUGGUGUUCAAGUCGCAUAGAAUAGCGCGCCAGAGAGGGUGAUAGCCCCGUAGCCGACACUAGUAACACGGCCACCAACACUACAGCUCUAAGAGUCGGACUGUUUGGGAAUGCAGUCUAAAGCAGGUGGUAAACUUCAUCUAAGACUAAAUAUUGCUCCGAGACCGAUAGCGCACAAGUACCGUGAGGGAAAGUUGAAAAGCACUCUGAAAAGAAAGUGAAAAGUACGUGAAACCGUCAAUGGGGAAGCGGACGGUGAAAUCGAAACAGCCGUCAAGAGUCGCGCCCUAACAGAGUGCGAUGGAAUUGACGGCUGUGUGCCGGUCUCAUUGCUGGCCGCGUAGUCUGCGGUGCCAGUUUGAUUUCAGCGGUAUUUUCGAAAGAUGGUUGCGGGGUCAAGUGGCACUGCGAGACUGAAAUCGUGGCCGGUAAUGUUGAUGUACUCGCAGCGCGACUGUGGAGCGGUGCAGCGUGCGAGUGUAAAUGCACUUGAGCGGUGGGUCGCUACACAGUCAGGUGCGAAAUGAUGAUUGUACAUGGUGCCCGGCGAGAUAUGUCAUUGUCCGACCCGUCUUGAAACACGGACCAAGGAGGCUAACGUAUGCGCGAGUUAAAGAGUGACAAACUCGGUGAACUAAACGAAAGUGAAAUGUGAGAUCCGCCGGCCUCGUGCCGGUGGCGCAUCACGCACCUGUUGGAAAGUUGACUACAAUAGAGUGAGAGCGUAUGCGAUAGGACCCGAAAGAUGGUGAACUAUGCCUGAGUAGAGCGAAUUCAUUGGAAACAAUGAUGGAGGCUCGUAGCGGUUCUGACGUGCAAAUCGAUCGUCAAACUUGGGUAUAGGGGCGAAAGACUAAUCGAACCAUCUAGUAGCUGGUUCCCUCCGAAAUAUCCCUCAGGAUCGCCGGAACUCGUGAAACAGUUUCAUCGGGUAGAGCUAAUGUUUAGAGGUAUUGGGAUCAUUAAUGGUCUCAACCUAUUCACAAACUGCGAACCGGUGAUGUACCGCAAAGCACAGUACAGUUACUUGACUGAACCGGCGCUGUGAUUUGAAUGUUGAGUUCCGAGUGGGCCGUUUUUGGUAAGCAGAACUGGCGACGCGGGAUGAACCGAGUGCCGGGUUAAGGUGCCCAAGUGUAGGCAAACGGACACCAUAAAAGGAGUUGGUAGAUGAUAACAGUAGGACCGUGGCCCUGAAAGUAGGCAUCGGCUAAGAAGUGUGCAACAACAUACCUACCGAAUCUACUGGCCCUGAAAAUGGAUGGCGCUAUAGCCUACCACCGAUACCCGGCCGUGAGUGUGAGCGAAGCAUUCACGGGUAGGAGGGUGCUACGGUUGCUGCGAAGGUUGCAUGUGAAUGCGACUGGAGCGGCCGUAGGUACAGAUCUUGGUUUUAGUAGCAGCGUAUAGAAGUGAGAACCUUCUAGGCCGAAGUGGAGAAGGGUUCCUCGUGAACAGCAGUUGGACGAGGGUUAGUCGGUCCUAAGCAGCAGCUCACACGCUGAGUAAAAGGGGACGUUUCGCGUUAGUGCCUUUUGGUGCAGCGCCUCGUCUCAGUCUGCGAAAGGGAAUCAGGUUAAUAUUCCUGAACCAGGCUUCGGAUAACUUGCCUGAUCAAGGGCCAGCGGGUGCGUGUCCUCGGGCAACCGGGGGUGUGCGCGAGCUGGCCGGCGAUUUGCAAGUGGAGCGGUAACGCAAGCAAACUCGGAGACGUGCUUGACAAUCCCGGGAAGAGAUUUCUUUUCUGUUUAACCAGACGGGCAUGAGCCUGGAAUAGAGUCAUUCAGAGAUAGGCUUGACGUUUGGGAAGAGCGUAGCAUUUGGUUACGUCCGGUGUAUUGUGAAUCAUCCUUGAAAAUCCGAGGGCGUGAAUGAUUGUCGAGCCUGACCGUACCGAGAACCGCAUCAGGUCUCCAAGGUGAAUAGCCUCUGGCUUUAGAAUAAUGUGGGUAAGGGAAGUCGGCAAAAUAGAUUCGUAACUUUGGGAUAAGGAUUGGCUCUAAGGAUUGAGCUACUUGGACCAGUCAUGAGUGAUUGUGCUUGUUCACAGACGAGUCGUCGGUCGGCGGCUCGGAAACGGGUCGUCGGCUGUUAUGCUUGUUAGUGGACACUGUAACUACUGGUGGCUGGUUUGUGCUGCCGUCGCCGGGUGAUACUUUUGCCAGGCGGAGGGUGGUGCCUCGCGAGUAGCUAAGAUCAAUCAACUUAGAACUGUCACUAACUAGGGGAAUCCGACUGUUUAAUUAAAACAAAGCAUUGCGAUGGCUGGAAACGGUGUUGACGCAAUGUGAAUUCUGCCCAGUGCUCUGAAUGUCAAAGUGUGGAGACACAACCAAGCGCGGGUAAACGGCGGGAGUAACUAUGACUCUCUUAAGAUAGCCAAAUGCCUCGUCAUCUAAUUAGUGACGCGCAUGAAUGGAUCAACGAGAUUCCCACUGUCCCUACCUACCAUCUAGCGAACAAACAGUCAAGGGAACGGGCUUGACUGAGACAGCGGGGAAAGAAGACCCUGUUGAGCUUGACUCUAGUUUGAUAUGGUGAGGAGACAUGAGAGGUGUAGAAUAGGUGGGAGACGUGAUUGGGGGCAACCCCAGUGGCGCCGCCGGUGAAAUACCACCACUUUCAUUGUUUCUUCACUAAAUCGGUGAUGAGGGGAGUGCCCGGUUUUUGACGUAGUCGUGUACUGUUUUACAGCUGAUCGUUGCCCGUAUGCGGGUCGGGGUGGCAAUCCUAGACCGGUGCGGGUUUGCGUUCAGUAAUAAAGAGUUGGCUAUUGUCGGGCCGGUGUCGCCUGUUGUUAGAAUUAAGAUGGUCUGCAGUGUUGCUCGGGCGUCCGUGCCAUCACGGUGCGCUCGAGUGGUGCUGUUGGCUCGUCCAGAGUGUGUCCAUCGACCUGCUUUCACGAUGGUCGGUAGCAAUGCCGGCCAGUUGUGAUGUGACGACCGAUGACAGUAUCAAAUGGGGAGUUUGACUGGGGCGGUACAUUCUUUAAAAUGCAACGAGAGUGUCCUAAGGUGGGCUCAUCGUGGACAGAAACCACGAGUAGAGCAUAAGGGCAAAAGCCUGCUUGAUUUUGAUUUUCAGUACUAAUACAAACCACGAAAGUGUGGCCUAACGAUCCUUUACGUUGGCCUGAAAGUUUCAGGGUAGAGGUGUCAGAAAAGUUACCACAGGGAUAACUGGCUUGUGGCGGCCAAGCGAACAUAGCGACGUCGCUUUUUGAUCCUUCGAUGUCGGCUCUUCCUAUCAUUGGGCAGCAGUAUACCCAAAGUGUCAGAUGUCC